rnacentral:lncRNA from 1 species
CUUCUCAAGUCUGACAGUGAGGUCGACCACUGAGACAUCAACGGUAGGAACUCGGAAGGACAUUCCGGUCAAUUUACCAUUAAGGGCAGGCAAAACCUUACCAACUGCCUGUAAGGUAAGGUAUAAUUGAAAUUUUAGAAUUAGCCAAACCAAAGAAAUAAAAAAUUAUCACCCGACCAACUGAGUGUACCUUGGCAGCACCGGUGCUGCUGGGAAUGAUGUUGAAGGAAGCAGCUCUGCCACCUCUCCAGUCCUUCAUUGAUGGUCCAUCAACAGUCUUCUGAGUGGCAGUGAUGGAAUGGACAGUGGUCAUAAGACCCUCGACAAUGCCAAACUUAUCAUGUAUAACCUUAGCAAGAGGAGCUAGGCAGUUGGUAGUGCAGCUAGCAUUUGAGACAAUGUCAAGCUCUGGCUUGUAUUCUUUCUCGUUGACGCCCACAACAAACAUGGGAGCAUCCUUGCUAGGGGCGGAGAUAACGACUUUCUUGGCACCACC